UGGGAACGUACCCUUUGGUUCGGAACAACCCAGGGGAACUUGGGCUAAUACCGGAUAAGUCCGUAAGGAGAAAGAUUUAUCGCCAAAGGAUCGGCCCGCGUCUGAUUAGCUAGUUGGUAGGGUAAUGGCCUACCAAGGCUACGAUCAGUAGCUGGUCUGAGAGGGUGAUCGGCCACAUUGGAACUGAGACACGGUCCAAACUCCUACGGGAGGCAG
rnacentral:rRNA from 1 species